UACGUAGGGGGCGAGCGUUGUCCGGCUUUAUGGGGCGUAAAGAGCUCUGAGGCGGCUUGGUAAGUCGGGUGUGAAACCUCCAGGCUCAACCUGGAGCCGCCACUCGAUACUGCCAUGGCUAGAGUCCGGUAGAGGGUCACGGAAUUCCUGGUGUAGCGGUGAAAUGCGCAGAUAUCAGGAGGAACACCGGUGGCGAAGGCGCUGGCCUGGGCCGGUACUGACGCUGAGGAGCGAAAGCGUGGGGAGCAAACAGG
rnacentral:rRNA from 1 species